rnacentral:rRNA from 1 species
GGUGGCGGACGGGUGAGUAAUGGUAAGGAAUCUACCCCAAAGUGGAGGAUAGCUCGUCGAAAGACGGGGUAAACCUGCAUAUGACCGCAAGGUCAAAGGGCGUAACUGCCUGCUUUGGGAGGAGCCUUACUCCUAUCAGCUUGUUGGUGGGGUAAAAGCCCACCAAGGCUAUGACGGGUAGCUGGUGUGAGAGCAUGACCAGCCACAAUGGCACUGAGAUACGGGCCAUACACCUACGGGUGGCAGCAACUGGGAAUCGUCGGCAAUGGGCGAAAGCCUGACCGCGCGACGCCGCGUGAGGGAUGAAGUAUUUCGGUAUGUAAACCUCUUUUGCCAAGGUAAACACAACUUGGAGAAUAAGCAUCUACUAACUACGUGCCAGCAGUCGCGGUAAUACGUAGGAUGCAAGCGUUAUCCGGAUUUAUUGGGCGUAAAGGGUCGCGUAGGCGGCCCACCACAUCUCACUUUAAAUGGUUCCGCUCAACGGAAUCCUGGGUGAGAGAUGAGUGGGCUAGAGGACCGGUGGGGUUUCUGGAACUUUCGGUGUAGCAGUGAAAUGCGUUGAUAUCGAAAGGAACACCAAGAGCGUAGGCAAGAAACCAACCGAAACCUGACGCUGAGGCACGAUAGCUGGGGGAGCGAAGCAGAUUAGAGACCUGCGUAGUCCCAGCCGUAAACGCAUGAGUGCUAGUUGGUCCGAUUUAUUCGGGCUGACGUAAGUUAACACGUUAAGCACUCCGCCUGGGGAGUACGGCCGCAAGGUUGAAACUCAAAGGAAUUGGCGGGGACCCGCACAACCAGUGGAGCAUGUGGUUUAAUUCGAGACGAAGCGAAAGACCUCACCACGGUUUGACAUGUUAUCGUUUUAUUCCGGCAGAAACGUCGGGAGAUCCGCAAGGAUGAUAACAAAGCUGCUGCAUGGCUGUCGUCAGCUCGUACCGUGAGGUGUUCCCUUAAGUGGGGUAACGAGCGCAACCCUUGUCGUUUGUUAAAUAUUCAAACGAUACGGUCCCGUAGUAUUACGGGAAGGAAGGUGGGGACGACGUCAAGUCAGCACGGCGCUUAUGCCGUGGGCCACACACAUCCUACAAUGGCGAAAAACAACGAGUCGCAAGACGGUGACGUCAAGCAAAUCUCUGAAAUUUCGUCUCAGUUGGAAUUGAAGUCUGAAACCCGACUUCAUGAACUAGGAAUUGGUAGUAAUCGCGGAUCAGCAGGUCGCGGUGAAUACGUUCUCGGGUCUUGCACACACCGCCCGUCAAGCCAACAAAGUCGGGGGUAGCCGAAGCUCCGAUUUAUCGGAGUGAAGCUAAACUCGGCGAUGGGGACUAAGUCGUAACAAGGUA